rnacentral:snoRNA from 1 species
CAGUCCAAUGAUGACAAUGUGUCAUGGACCGAGGGUCAUGAUUAAUACAAUUAAUGUACCCCAGAUUACUAAU